rnacentral:rRNA from 1 species
GAUGAACGCUAGCGGCAGGCUUAAUACAUGCAAGUCGAGGGGCAGCAUGAGUGUAGCAAUACAUUUGAUGGCGACCGGCAAACGGGUGCGGAACACGUACACAACCUUCCUAUAAGUGGGGAAUAGCCCAGAGAAAUUUGGAUUAAUACCCCGUAACAUAAUGAUGUGGCAUCACAUUAUUAUUAUAGCUUCGGCGCUUAUUGAUGGGUGUGCGGCUGAUUAGAUAGUUGGCGGGGUAACGGCCCACCAAGUCUACGAUCAGUAGCUGAUGUGAGCGCAUGAUCAGCCACACGGGCACUGAGACACGGGCCCGACUCCUACGGGAGGCAGCAGUAAGGAAUAUUGGUCAAUGGACGCAAGUCUGAACCAGCCAUGCCGCGUGAAGGAUUAAGGUCCUCUGGAUUGUAAACUUCUUUUAUCUGGGACGAAAAAAGGCUAUUCUUAGUCACUUGACGGUACCAGAUGAAUAAGCACCGGCUAACUCCGUGCCAGCCGCCGCGGUAAUAC